AAAAAAGAAGAAGAAGAAGAAGAAAAUGGGGCUGAAAAACUUCACUGCCAUUUUUCAAAAUCAGACGACCCGUUUCCUUUCAAAGGGUAGCCAAAAAGUUCCCAUACACACCCAUUAGCGAGCUUCUUCUUUACCAAAAAAAAAACUAAAAAAAUUAGAUCAUCAUUUUCAAACCACCUUCUAGCUAGAACUGGAAACAAAAAAACAGUACAGACUCUCUCAUCAGCGCUGUCUCUUUACGCCACCCUCGAGUUACUACUAUCUUGCCCCACGUUGACUCAAGGAACCAUAGCCGCUGCUUCCACAGUACCGUUAACCUGAGGUGUUCAUUACCGGAAUCAUAACACAAGGCAGGCCAGGAGCCCACUCACAUCGUCCAUGUGCAUCUUCAGCGUGCUCGUUUUACAUUCUUGCCUCUGACCUCUCUGGACUUAGCUUUAUUCAAGCACUAGCCACUCAAAAAAAGAGUGAAGAUGAGGUACGGGAUAUCCAGUGGAGCUGUCUCCAUCAUAAUCACUCAAGGUAUAAAGCUUCUACCUAUUCUCAUGUAGUUGUAAUCUUUUACAUGUGCAUGCUACUGCAAAGGCAAGCUCCCGUUUUUCCUUUAUGUGCUAUGAAGUUAACAUAUAGUGUUGUAAGGUGUGUGGAUCGUCUUUUAAGUCCUAACCUGGUCACGGGUGUUCUUUCACUUGCUACGGGUACUGAAGGGGAUGGGGUGUGAUUUUUCCUUCAAGCGCAUAUGGUCUUGAAAACUUGAUUGCAUGUCCUAAGUUCAUGUUAAGACCUUGCCUAGUUAAUUAAGAAUGCUCUUACCCAAGGUUAAAGUUCAAGAACGGUAUGAGAAUGCUCUCUCAUUUUAUUUAGAUCGCUCAUUGAUUAUAAUAUUGUUGACUUAUUUUAUUAGAUUUUAAUGUAAUUUAAUUUCUUGACUAGAAUUAUCAGUAUAUAAUUAGUUAAAAAAUUAUUUAUGAUUUUAUGAUUUUACGAUCUGAGUUUAUUUUAUAUUUUUCGUGUCGUGUCAAAAAAUAUUUUUGACAACCUUGAACCCAGGAUCUUGACUUUAUUGAUCCACAAUCCCCAAACCAUAUUCGCAAACUAAAACUUUUUUUAUAUAGUUUAAAACAAGCACCUCGUGCAUGUAUUGAUUGCUUAGUGAAUUCUUAGUUUCUCAAUGGAUUUUAUAUUCGUAAAUUUUUAAGUGAACCCAGGUUAUAUUAUCAUGAUAACUAAAAUAAAAUGAGCUAAAUUUAUUUAUAAAAUGAGCACCACACGCUUAGAUUUAAAUUCCAUAGAAAGAUUAGCACCUGAUGACAAGUUAACUCGGGAAACAAAGGUAAUAACAAUGUUUUGAGAUUGAAUUCGACACUAGGUCUACUUAGUAGUUAGUACAUAUAAGUUGAAGGAUUGCUACCUUGACCAAUGAACUGAAAAUAUCUUUAAUUUAUAAUGAAUGGCAUACACCAUACAGUUUUACCAUAUCAACAGCAUGAAAAUUGAUAAUCGAUCCUUUAGGGAUAUUAUUCCAUUUCUUUAUUAAUUAUCAUAAAAACAUUUAUUAAAUGUGUUGUCCUCCAACUCUUUCCAUAAAAAGAAAGAGUUGUGAACCACAACAUACAUUUGAUCAUGGACAAAAGGUAAUCAAAUAGUUGCCUCCACUAGGACAAGUAAACGUGCUCGAUUUAUCAUCAAAAGCAUAACUAUAAGCUUGAGGACACUGCUGCUUGAAAGUCAUCGAAUAUUGGGUAGGAGGACAUGUUUCAGCUGUAUUAUGGUCUCCUGUGCAGCAGUACUGCGGCUGGUUAAAUGCCAAACACGCACUCUUGCAGGCAAUCACAGUCCCAUCUGAACCUUUCACUGCUAAACUAGGAUCACAAACAGCAUUCACGUUAGCUGCACAGCUUGUAGAAGGGCAGCCAGUAGAACCUCCUUGCGGGGUUACCGAAAUUGGGAGGUUAAAGCCAUCAACAAGGCUUAUAUCGUAAUAAUCUUUCCCACCAUCACCGCUUAGAGUAAAUUCUGCCAAGGAUGCUGGUGGGAUCGCACCGGCUCCAUUGCAUUCUAUGACACCAGAGGCACAGUCAGCAGUAGCACAAACAAACUUUCCCGAGGCAUCUGUAGAGCAUUGCGUUCUGGCCCACAAGCGGCCAGACCAAUUGACAGGGACACUCAGCGAAGAUGAAGCACCCGUUGCCAAUGUGAAGCCAGUUGAAGAUAAAGACGGACCGCCAGCAGCCGUUAGAGUUCCUGGCCAGACUGUGUAUGGACAGUUGUUUUUGAAGUCGAAAGUCACAGAUUGAGCUCCUGCAUGCGUGCAAGAUUUAUUUUUGUUGAUAUCAAUAAUUAAAUCUUGGUCGAUUCAAAGAUAACAUAAUUCAAUAUUUAAAAUCUUGUAUUAAUUCAGUUAUUUUUCUUUUAAAAAUAUAACAUAACCCAGGUUUUUUUUUAAUAUAUUUUUUUCUUUCUUGUUUUUUAUCUGGAAACUCUCCCUCCUGGAUAAGUUUAUUGGAUUCACGAAAUCCAUUGAAUAAUGAAAACUAGUUAAUAUUGCAUAUGCAAACAGAAAAUAUAUAUGUAGAAUAAUCAAAGUGAAUAAUAUGCAUAAUAGAGUUUUCCAUGCAAGAAUCUAAUAUAUGUAAUAUUGUAAAAGUACUUGCCAUAGAAGAAGAUGACGAGGGUGAAGGUAAUUAUAGCAAUGGGCAUACGACUCUCCAUUGCCGAGAUGCGUCGAAUUAAUUAAGACCUUUUCAGUAUCUUUCAAGAGAUUUGAGGUAAGCAAGAAACACUCUAUAUUUUAAAAAUAUUAUGAAAUGAGCAGACUUAAUAAAUAGUGUUAAAUUUGCAGACUAGUAAACAGAGGAACGUCCUGCUUCUGAUCACGUCAAAUGAAAGCAACACCCCAUUGAAUAUUGAAUGUAACUCUUGUCCAGCAGACGAGCCGUGAUGAAUGUGACACUCUUCAAAAUUAUCACACCGUGAUUAAUGCGAGAUUCUUCAAAAUUAAAGAAAAAAAAAUCACCACCUAUUAAUUAAAAAAUUUAGAAUUCAAAAAUAGACAUUGGUUAGAGAUUUAGGCAUUCGGGACAACUCGCUCUUCUGGCACCAGCACAGCACUUCGUCGAAAAGAAACCCAAUGAAAUAUACAAAUGCCCUUGGUUUGAACCACAAUAUAAAUGAAUUAUAUUCCACAAAACAUCGAAAGAUGUACUUUUAAAUUUAUUUUUUAAUAUUUUGGAUAAUAUAUUUAAAUUAAAAUUUUACUGUUAACUUCAAAUAUUCAUGUACAUGAGUUAAUAAUUGAUCUUAAAAAAAAAUUAUAUAUUUAUUUAAUAGCUCAGGACACGAAAACUUCUUUGCUCCGCCCUUGCUAAUAAUCAUCUUCCACACGAUGACAUUUGACAAUGAAUAUCAAAUUAUAAAAUUAUAAUUUAUUUAUAUUUAUAAAAAAAUAAAUUAUAAAAUUGGGUUUAUCACUUGAAGUGCGCGUAGACCGUCCAUGCAAUGACAUGCACUCAUCAACUAUUUUUAAUAUUAUUUAUAUUUAUUAAAUUAUAAAAUUAGAAAUAAACCACCCUGAUAACAAAAAAAAAAAAAAAACCCAAUGAAAUAUACAAAAGCCCUUAGUUUGAACCACAAGUGACUAACUAGAUAUCUCAAUUAACGAGAAAGCAGACUAGAAAACAGGCAAUUAGAGAAACGUCAAAUGAAACCAACACCCAAUUGAAUAUUGAAUGUAACAGUACCGGUCCCUUGUUUGAACCACAAGUGACUAACUAGAUAUCUCAAAUUCAAUUGAUGAGAAAGCAGACUAGUAAACAGCCAACAGUGGCAGUUCUCCUCAGGCAUUACACCGUGAUGAGUGCGAGACUCUUCAAAAUUAUCACACCGUGAUGAGUGCGAGACUCUUCAAAAUUGAUGAGAAAGCAGAGUAGUCCCUGGCUUCUGGAAUGAAUGUAACUCUGGAAUUAUUCCAAAUCCAUUUGUCUAAUGAAUGUUACUCUGGAAUUAUUCCAAAUCCACAAGUUUCAUAAUGUUGUGUUGAUUGUGAGACAUUAUUAUUUCAAAAACUGAAGGGGAUAAAAUUAUAAAAGAAUUUUAAUUUUAUAAAUUAUCUAAAAAAAAAAUAAUAAAAAUAAUAGGAACCAAAUUCGAAUGAAUAACAAAUUAAAAACGUACUUUGAAAUUUUGAAGUGCCACGUACGGAAAUCAAGAAAAGAAGAAAUAAGACAAAAAAAAAGAUUGUCGGUAACAAACUGAAAACUAUCUACAACACGUGCCGCCUCAUCCAUGACAGCAAUUGGUCAAUGAACAUCCCUGCACGCACCACUUGAUGUGUGUGGAAUUGCCCACGAACUAACCUGAACUCAUCAACUAUUUUUUUUAAUAUUAUUUAUAUUUAUUAAAUUAUAAAAUUGGAAAUAAACCACCUUGAUAAAAAAAAAAAAAAAAAAAACCCAAUGAAAAUAUACAAAUGUCCUUGGUUUGAACCACAAGUGACUAACAAGAUAUCUCAAUUAAUGAGAAAGCAGACUAGUAAACAGCCAAUUAGAGGAACGCCCUGCUUCUCACGUCUAAUGAAAGCAAUUGAAUGCAGGAAUAGGGCCAUACUCACAAGAAAAUUGAUUUACACCUGACAUAAUAUUUUGUAAGUGUAAAAGCUAUAUUUCUGUGUCUAUAAAUAUCAGGUAGAUUUUUUUAUGGAAAUAUCUUGUAAAUAAAUAUCAAAAUAUUUAAUAUCGCAAUUCAGAGCAUAUAUCUAAUUGUGUUUAAUAAUUUUUUUAUUUGAAUAAAUUUGUAUUUAACCAAAAGAUUAUCCAUGCCGAUAAAACGAUGUCUACCAAAUAUAUAUUUUUUUAUUUUGUAUUUUAAAAUAUUAUGAAAUGAGCAUCACUUUCCUAUAUUUAUUUAAUUAAUUAAAUUAAAUUAAAUGAAAAAAAUGUCUAUAAAAAAGAGAAAUUAAAAAAAAACAACAAAUAAAAAUACUCGAGAUAUCCCGAGUCAUUUUCAAAAUAAGUGAAAAAUCUUAUAGAAAGAAAAAAAAAAUCAAUGGAGCCCAAUAUCUAAUUAAAUAAAUAUUAAAGGAUGAAACUAAAAUAAACAUGAGCUUAAAAAAAGGGAAAAAACCAAGCAAACUCGGGUGAACCUCCUAAACCUGAGUUAAUCUCUAAAACUCCCAACUUAUGAAAUCCUAGACUUGAACUUGAUUAAGAAGCACAAUUCUCAACUAAUUUAAUGUUGAAUAAUGAAAACAGGAAAAAAAAUCAAUUUAAAAAAAAAAUUGCAAAAGUGAAAAAAAAGUUAGCAAUCAAAAGAAUGAGGAAUCAAAUCUGAUAGGAAAAAAAAACUUAUGGAGGAUGAUAUUGUAAAAAAAUAUCAAAUUAAAAAAUUAUCUCAAAUAAAAAAAUAGCAAUCAAAAGAAUAGGAACAAAAUUUGAAAGAUAAAAAAAUUAAAGGGGUAUGAAAUUGUCAAAGAAUUCUAAUUUAAUAAAUUAUUCCAAACAAAACAAAUAAUGAUCAAAAGAACAGCCACCAAAUCUUAAGGAAUAACAAAUUGAAGGCAUGCUUUGAAAUUUUGAAGGGGCACAAGCAAGAAUCAAUGAGAGAAAAAAGAAAAAGAGAAAGAAAAGGUUGUCGGCACCAAAUUGAACAACCAGUUCACUUGGUAUUACCAAACGGUCGACCGGACCAACUUAAAUUCCAGAUUUUGACAAUUUAAACCUGCUGAAUCUUGAACUGAUACUAAUCCUAUAUACAUGUAGAGUGAAGUGUUUGAGUCAUUUUAAUUGUGCUAUUAAGCUAAAAUAUAAAGAUUUACAAAAUCACUUAAAUGAACAAUUAAUUCUUAGUCUUCACUUGUUUUGCAUCUUGGAUAUCCUCAUUGAUUUUUUCAUGACAUCCUUCAUGCUUGUUGAUGUCAAAACUAAUUUUUGGGUUAUUCCCCACCAUUUUUUACCUUAUUCCUUUUCAAAAUAAAAAUAAAAUAAUAAAAUAAUAAUAGCAAGGAUACUAGCGACGUAGAAAAUGUUGGCUGGGGAAGGAUUUUAAAUAUAGAAAAAUUAAAGUUUUGGAGUCAAUUAAGGGCUGCAUUAAUGAAAUUUUCAGCCAAGAAUCAUUUUGAAAAAGGCAAUUAGGGACUUGAUUGAAGAAAUACAAAACCAAGGACCAAAUUGGAAAAGGCACGUGAAUAUAAGGGUUGAAAUUGACCGAAUCAGGGACCAGAUUGAAGAAAUUGGAAGUUUGUUGAUCAAUUGAAGGUCAAAAUGCACAAAUUCAAAACCAAGGAUCAAAGUGAAAAAGGCAACCAACUUCAAGGCUGACAUUUGAAUUUGAAAAAGAUGCAAUUGAAUUAAUUCUUAAAAUCAAAAUCUAAAUCGAUGACUUAAUUGAACAAAUAAAAAAUUGAGGACUGAUUUGGAGAAAAGGACUUCUUAGGCGCCAUUUUUAUUUAAAUGAAAUGGCGUGUUUUGUACGAAAACGAUGCCAUUUCAAGUAUUCUUAUUCCAAAAAGAAAAAAAAAAGACAAAGCUCAAAAUGGUGUCAUUUUGGAUGGCACUGUACAUCUUCUACUUCCCCUAGACGUGCUGUAGGCAGGGGAAAAAGGUUUUUUUCCCAUCCUUUACAGCACCUUUCUCUCUCCCUCCCUCCCUCUCUCUCUCUCUCUCUCUUUCUCUCUUUUUCUCUCUCUCCCACUUGCCUAAAAACCCUAACACAACCCACACCCCCUCAUGGCCUACCACCAUGAUGAAAGGGGCAGAGGGAACAAGCCUUACAGGCGACUCUGGGGCGGCUACACAGUGGACGCCCUAGCGCUACACUACCCCUUCAGCAUGACUAGACAGGGGUAGGGCAGCUCCCCCCCCCCGCCCUUUAUAAAUACCAUCCUUACCAGGAGGUUGGGGGGCGAAAGAAAGAAAGAAAGAAAGAAAAAGGAAAAAGGAACGAAACAAAAAAGAAAAGGAAAGAAAGAAAAACAAUGGAAAACAAAGGAAAGAAAGGGAAGAAAAAGAAAAACAAAGAAAAAAAAGGAAAGAAAACAAAGGAACACUCUUUGGCCUCUACUCGGAGAAGAAAAGGAACCUCUUCUCCUCAUCUCUCUUGCUAGUUAGUAGCAGCAGCCACCAUUCCUCCUAGUCGCCACCGCAACAAUGCCACCGUCAACAUCAGCAACCAUGCUACCCUCACUCCAAGUAAUCUUCUUCCCCUCUAUGUAACAUCUUCUUACCUGUUUUCCUUCUUCAUUUCAUUUGCAUGCAGAAUAUGAGCAAUUCACAUUCUGCAUAGUAACUAAUUACUGUGCUAAGCACAGUAACCAUUUAAUGGUUUUUUGGGCUGGGUCUAGCCUUAUAAAAAAAAAAAGAAUAUGUUGGGUCGACAUCGGCCCAACUCUUUUGGGCUGACCUCGACCCAAUUUCUUUUGGUUUGUAUUUUUACACUAUAAAUAUACAAAAUUCGUUAUUAAAAUACUUGUUUUUUCUCCAAAAUGUUGCAAAACAAAUAUAUAGAAAAAUAACAAAAAAACAUUUCUUGUUCUCAUGCAUAUGACCAAGUCUAAAAAAUAUAAGAAAUUUCAUAUUGUAUUUUCAUACAAAAUAAAAUUCAAAAAAAUAUGUGUUAGCAUGCAUUCUAGGCUUUAAUAACCAGUUUAUUAAAGCAAUCAGAACUACGCCUAUAUUUCAAAAAUACUAAAAAAAUAUUUUGUUUUCUUUUAGUAUCUAGGAUUAUAAACUUAUACAUAAGACGUAUUAUGGAUAUUAAAUAAAAAGGUAGUUCUUUUUUUUAUAUGUAUUGACAUUAGAACGGUUAGGUUUUUACCUGAUAAUAUAAGGAUCUCCUUACUAAGGAAGACUUUUCCUAAACCUUAGACUGGCCAACAAUUAGAAAACACAACAAUAUGUUAGUUAUAUUAGAUAAUUAAACAAUGCAGAUUACCUUAGGUAAGACGCAUUAAAGGUGCUAAUACCUCAUGUGAAACUUCAGAAAUUUAUAAUUUAGAUAUGUAGAUGACUUGGUGGAAACUCUGUAAAACCCCAACAAAAGACUUCACCAUGAUGAAUUGAAUAAUGAGAAAUAAAAUAUAAAUGGUGGUAAAUUGUAAACCCCCAAUCAAAUUUCAUGAUAUUAAUAAAAUUAUUGAUAAUUCAGAACCAAAAAUGGGAUGAUCUAGUUAAAAUAAAAUAAAAUGGAAUAGUAUUGAAUUAUUAGAAAAGAAAUUUUAGAGAGAGAUUUUUUUUGCAUGGUAUUUUAAAAGCGAGCAGCGAAAAGGCAUUUGGUUGAACGAAAAGAUACCUAAACUUGAUAUAAGGGUGUUUUAGUAAAUAUAGAUAGAUUUGCUAUAUAAAUUGCAAAAUUAUGCAGAAAUUAACUAGGAGUGCCGAAUGAAAGGAAAAGAGAGAGAGAGAGAGAGAGUACCUUGAGAGCAGAAAUUCAAACGGCCAUAUCUCUGAAUUGCACUGUUACAUUGGUUUGGUUUUGGGAUAUAUUAUACUUCUCACUACCCUCUAACAUCUAACCAUUCGGAUCUGAAUGUUCUAGUUCGAUGUGAGAGAUAUAGCCCUCACAACAUUUCAAGGAAAAUCUGCUUGCAGGUCAGUCAUGGUCUCUAGCAGUUUCCACCCUUGUCCACCGUUGGAUCCUGCUCAAGUUUGGAUAUGUGGGUCAUAUUGAUGAGCUCUUCAUUAUGAACGGUGGAGAUCAGGAUUAUAGACUCCGAUAAGAAGUUAGUCAUCGAAGAACAAUAUGUUGUCAAUUUUCAGGUCCGUUUUGGUUUUGUCUUGAUCUAGAAAGAUCUAACCGUUACAAUGCUAUGAUGUUUUGGUACGUGUUUCAUGUUAUAAUGGUGGAAAGUGUGGUGGCUUAAUUUGUGUUUAACCAUCAAAAGCAUGCUAUUUAUGAUUUAAAUUGAAGAAAAUCCUUAGUGUCUUUCCUUAGGCAUGUUCAGCUAUAUUAUUGAUAGUAGGAAAAGGGAGAUAUUGGUUGUCCAAUCUAUGAAUUUGGACUUAACAGUUUUAUCACCCACCUUUCAGUUGUGGUUAGGGAGCCAAAAUGAUAAAAUUCCAGAUUGGGUUCUUCACAAAGGUUGUAGGUAUAGAUGUUAUCUUUUAAACAAAACUGACCUCGUAUAAUUUGGAGUUAUAAAACUCCAUAUAUGUGUCGCGGGUGCGCGGCGUCGCGGCGAAAAUUCCACUUUUUAGAAUCUAGGAAGUGUGUAUGGUAUCUAUCUGGUAAAUGUGGGGAGACAAGAAAAUAGUCUUUUGUUGGUAGGAAAAUGGAAUGGGAGUCGCCACCUAGUAUUUUGGUCACUAGGAACCCUAACUGGUCUCAAAGAUUGGGUACGGGGACUGGUUGCGUAAAGGGAAGGUAUUAGCACCCCAAAUACGCCCUACCUAAAGUAAGCUGCAUUGUUUAUUUGUCUGAUAAAAUUCAAGGUCUCGUUGUGUUUCCUAGUUGUUGGUCCGUCUAUGGUUCAAGAAAAGUCCUCCUCAAUAAGGAGGUCCUUAUCUUAAGGGGUAAAACCUAAUCCUUCUAACGUCUAUGUAUGUUGGUCCGUCUAUGGUUCAAGAAAAGUCCUCCUCAAUAAGGAGGUCCUUAUCUUAUCGGGUAAAACCUAACCGUUCUAAUGUCUAUGUAAAAAAACCCAUAUUUUUAAUAUCAGGAAUACGUUUUACGUAUAAAUUCAUAAUCCCAAAUACUAAAAGAAGACAAAAAGAUUUUUUAAGAAUUUUUGAAAUAUUGGCCUAGUUCUCAUGGCUUGAAUAAACUGGUUAUUAAAGCCAAAAUGCAUGCUAAUACAUAUAUUGUUUUGAAAUUUCCUUUUGUUGUGUGAAAAUAUGAUGUUAGAAUAUUUAUAUAUAUAUAUUGGAGAGACUAGGCCGUAUGCAUGAAAACAAAACAUUUUUUUUUGUAAUUAUGUAUUUUUUGAUGUUUUGACGAAAAUCGGGUAUUUUAAUACCGGAUUUGUAUCUUUACCGUAUAAAAAUACAAACCGACAUUGAUCAAAAUACAGUAAUAAAAUUACAACAAAAUCGCAUAUUUUUUAAAUGAUUUUUGAAGAACCCUUUUUUAUUUUUUUAUUUUUUUUUUUUUAAAACAUGUAUACAUAUAUAAAUAAUACAAAACAAUAUAAUAUAUAAAUAUAUAAUAUUAAAUGGGUUGGGCUGGUCCGGCCCAACCAACUGGGCCGGACUCAGCCCAAAAAAUGUUGGGCCGAUUUCGGCCCAAAAUGGAUUGGGCCGAUCUCGGCCCAAAAAACUGAUAUUCUUCUCUGGGCCAGACCCGGCCCCGAAGACAGGGCCGGGCCAGGAUCUGCCUGGACCGGACCAAACGGGCGGGGGGAAUUAAUUCCCCCCCCACCCCUGCAUGCAGAACGCUACUCGUUCUGCAUGCAGAGAAGGAAAAAAAAUAAACACCAGAACAAGGGGGGAGGAAGAAUUACCUGGCGCGGAGGAGGCGAUGGCUUGCUGAUUGGAAUGCUUCGCUGGUGGUGCUGUGGUGGAGGCCGGUGGCGGUGUCAUGGCUCACGGACGGCGGCUCCAAGCGGCGGUGCUGCUAUUUCAAACGGUGGAGGGUGAGGUUACUGCUCUUCCCUUCUCCUCCGUAUGCCUUCCUCUUCUUUCGUUUUCGGUGGUUUCCUUUUAUCCUCCCGGUUUGUUGUCAAGUUUCCUACCCCGUUUCAAGCUUUUCCUUCCUCUCCGUUUGAGUUUAUCAGUGGUUCCCUUUUUAUUCGGUUCUGUUCUCUGUUUCUCUCUAUUUCCUCUUCUUUCGGUCCUCUCCCCUUUCUCCUCCCUUUCUUCUGUGUUCUUGGGUCUAUUUAUAGAGCCAAGAGGCGGGGCUUUUUAUGGCUGCACAUGGGGGGCAGGGGCUGCGGCGGUUGGUCGGCCAUUCGGGUGCAGCUGUCGAGACGUUACUCCCCUGUUUUCUGCAUGGCGCGCGGCGGGUGGUCGGCCAGCGGGCGUGGCUGGCGAGGUGCGGCUCCCUCGGUUUCCUGGCAAGGCAUGUGGUCAAGAGAGAGGCAGCACCGGUUUAAAGAAGAAAAACCAUUUUUCUUCCUUCUUCUGCAUCGCGUCCAGUGAGGAAGAAGAAAGGGGAACAGUGUCGUUCAAAACGACACCGUUCCGAUCUUCUUCUUCUUCUUUUUUUUUUUUUUUUUUGGCAUGAAACGGCGUCGUUUUAGGCAAAACGCGCCGUUUCAUUUAAGUCCAGCAAGACGCCAAAACGCGUCAAUUUGCAAAGCAGCCCUCAAUUAUCUUCUUUCCUUCAAUUGCAUCCCUGCCAAUUUCGGUCUCCGCCCCUAUAGUUGGCCGCGUUUUUCACUUUGGUCCUUGGCCUCUGAUUUAUGCAAUUGAGCCCUCAAUUGAUUAAUAAACUUUCAAUUUCUUCAAUUAGGCCCCUGAACCGAAUAAUUGCAGCCCCUCCAUUUACGCGCCUCUUCCAAUUUGGUCCCUGAUUUCGGAUUUUCUCAAUUAAGUCCCCAAUUGGCCCUUAAACUUCAAUAUUUAUGCAAUUAAGCCCCUGAUUUGACCUAAUAAAUUCCUAAAAAAUAUAUUUUGGCCCCAGAACUUAAAUUUCUUCUAAUUAAAACCCAAAUUGACUUAAAAAUCAAUUUUUCUUACAAUCAAAUCCCCUAUAAAUUCAUUUAAAAAUCCAAUUAAGUCCAUAAACAUCCAAAUUUGGGCUUUUCUCCUCAAAUUUCAAAAUUCCCCUCUCAAUAGGGCUCUCAUCCUUCAAGAAUAUACUGUCCUAACUCCAAUCUUUGUAUUUUUAACCUCAUUGACCAAUUUUCCAACCAUUUUCUGAGCACUCCCACCUCUUAUUAUUUUUUCUAAUUUCUUCCGGCUAUAUAUUUAUAUUUUUAUGGGGGGAACCCAAAAAUGGGUUACAACAGAUGCCCCCUCUUUAUAAUGCUUACGGAGCAGAGGUCUUGCGCAGUAAGUUUUAUAAAGAUAAACCCCAAAACGGAACUCCCGAAACUGAUCUGGUUGAAGCUUGAUUAAUCUGAAACUUGUCUUUUACAGCAAUCCUCCUCAACUUGGAAUCCCAUCUGGCGAUCUCCUUUAGUCAAUUUGGAAUCCCAUCUGGCGAUUCCUUUUUUAAUCAACAUGAAAAACGAGGUCCCAUCUGGCGACCUUCAAAUAGCGAAACAUGAGAUCCCUUCUGGCGAUCUCCUUUAAUCAAACUUGGAAUCCCAUCUGGCAAUUCCUUUUAUUCAAACGAAAUAUGAGGUCCCAUCUGGCGACCUCCAAAUAGCGAAAUACGAGAUCCCUUCUGGCGAUCUCCUUCAACUUGGAAUCCCAUCUGGCGAUUCCUUUUAUUCAACAGGUAAUACGAGGUCCCAUCUGGCGACCUCCAAAUAGCGAAACACGAGAUCCCUUCUGGCGAUCUCCUUUAUUCAACUUGGAAUCCCAUCUGGCGAUUCCUUUUAACCAACAUGUAAUACGAGGUCCCAUCUGGCGACCUUCAAAUAGCGAAACACGAGAUCCCUUCUGGCGAUCUCCUUUAAUCAACUUGGAAUCCCAUCUGGCGAUUCCUUCUAACCAACAUGUAAUACGAGGUCCCAUCUGGCGACCUUUAAAUAGCGAAACAUGAGAUCCCUUCUGGCGAUCUCCUUUAAUCAACUUGGAAUCCCAUCUGGCGAUUCCUUUCAACAUGAAAUAUGAGGUCCCAUCUGGCGACCUUCUAAUAGCGAAACACGAGAUCCCUUCUGGCGAUCUCCUUUAAUCAACUUGGAAUCCCAUCUGGCGAUUCCUUUCAACAUGAAAUGAGGUCCCAUCUGGCGACCUUCUAAUAGCGAAACACGAGAUCCCUUCUGGCGAUCUCCUUUAAUCAAUUUGGAAUCCCAUCUGGCGAUUCCUUAUUACCAAAGCUGAUAUCGAUGUCGUUCUUCCUGAUGGCAGGGUUCAAAACUUUUCAUUCUCUCUUUUUCUUGUUAUUCUCGUUGUUCCAGAAUCCACUAUGGUUCAAAACCGUGAUUCUUUGCUAUCAUCCUCUAUGAUUCUUUCUUCGUCUCCAAUCUUGUUGGAAAGCAUCAAGGUCUCCUCCUGUAACGAUCCAAAAAACAUAUAUGCAAUGCUUUAUGAUUAGAUGUCAUGCAUGCAUUCAUACCUGGUUUUGAAACAUAGGCCCCAUCACCUUCUUCGAGUUCAUGAGCCUCCUUCUUAACCUGAGCUUGCUUUUGAAGUCGCAUGCUGGAUUCAUCUCUCGUGUUGCCUCCUAUCAUAUUUUGGAGAAGAAAUCUCUGACUUUCUUUAAGUAGUCCUUUUCCCAAAAUGUAUGAUUUGUCAUUGCCUCUUUGUCAUGCUUUUGUCAAAUGCUUUAGCUUGGUUUUCAAAUCUAUAGGCUUCCGUACAUUUUAAACACGUAAAACUUUUCAUGAAAACAUCUCUUAUUGCCCCCAGUGUAGGGGUGUGAUUUUAGCCUAGGCUUUUGUAUAGAGAAGGAAUUCGUUCAGCCGAUGCUAAACUUUUUUAGGUGCGAUAACAACAAAACAUGCGCUAUUGGGAUUAAUGCAAAAAAAUGAUUGUUGUGAGAUCAAUGCAAAAAAAAAAAAAAAGUCAAUGGCCAAACUUUGCUUUAUUGAUUUAGGAGCGUACAUCAAACAUAAUAUCUUUUUACAGAGUCAGAAUUCACAGGUCGAGCUAGGUCUUCUCCAUCCAUUCUAGCCAACUUCAGCGCUCCUCCUGAGAAUGCCUUCUUUACUACGUAAGGACCCUCGUAAUUCGGUGCCCAUUUGCUUUGAUCGUCUCCAGGUAACGGCAAUAUUUUCUUCAAUACUAGAUCCCCUUCUUGAAACAACCGCGGUCUAACCUUCUUAUCAUAUGCCUUGGCCAUUCGUUUCUGGUAAAGUUGGUGAUGACAUAUUGCGGCCAUCCUUUUUUCACUGAUCAGGUUUAGUUGCUCAUAUCUCACUUUGGCCCACUCAACCUCUUCUAGCUCGGAAUCCAUUAAUACUCUUAACGAUGGGAUUUCUACUUCCAAAGGCAUCACUGCUUCCAUACCGUAUACCAAAGAAUAUGGGGUAGUCCCUGUCGAGGUCCUGACUGUAGUGCGGUAUGCGUGAAGUGCGAAUGACAACAUCUCAUGCCAAUCUCUAUAUGUGACUACCAUUUUCUGAAUAAUCUUCUUGAUGUUCUUGUUGGCGGCUUCUACUGCGCCAUUCAUCUUUGGUCGGUAUGGUGAAGAAUUCGAAUGCUUGAUUUUCCAUUUAGUACACAGCUCCGCUAUCAUUUUGCCAUUGAAAUUCUGUGCAUUAUCUGUCACUAUCUUUUCAGGAGGACCAUAUCGACAAAUCAAGUUCUUCUCUAUAAACCUCUUCACUACGUUCUGUGUUACGUGGGCAUAUGAACUAGCUUCUACCCAUUUUGUGAAGUAGUCAAUAGCUACGAGGAUGAAUCUAUGACCAUUGCUAGCUUUUGGGUUAACAGGCCCGAUCACGUCAAUUCCCCACAUUGCAAACGGCCAAGGGGAUAUUAGAUUAAAUAGAGGAGCUGGUGGCAUAUUGACCUUGUCACUGUAAACUUGACAUUUAUGACAUUUCCUGACAUAAUCGAUACAGUCUUUCUCUAGUGUCAUCCAAAAAUAACCAGCCCUUUGGAUUUUCCUCGCUAUCAUAUGCCCGCUAGCAUGGGUUGAGCAAAUCCCCUCAUGGACCUCCCGUAAUGCCUUUCUAGCAUCUGCCUCAUUCAAACACCUUAGUAGGGUCCCAUCAAAUGAUCUUUUGUACAAAAUCUCUCCAUCUAAAUAGAAGUCUAUAGCCAACCUUCUCAAAGUUUUCUUAUCCAUUUUGGAAGCUCCCACCGGAUAUUCGUGAUUUUGCACAAGGUUCUUGAUAUCAUAAUACCAAGGAUGUCCGUCUAUCUCUCCUUCAACUAAGCAACAAUAAGCUGGGUCAUUUCUAAUGUCAAUGUGUACCGGUUGUACCUUGCACUUGAGAUCAAUGGUAGUCAUAGCAGCUAACGUGGCCAAAGCAUCCGCAAAAUGGUUCCCCUCCCUUCCCAGAUGGGUGAAUCUAAUUCCUUCAAAUUCCUUUGCUAGCGUGGAUAGGUAUUCCUGGUACGGCCUCAACUUGUCCUCCUUGGUCUGCCAUUCCCCUUUAACCUGACAAAUAAUCAACAUUGAAUCUCUAUAUACAUCUAACUUCUUUAUCUUCAACUCUAAUGCCGCUUCUAAACCGAGGAUACAAGCUUCAUACUCAGCUGUGUUGUUGGUGCACUCGAAAUGUAGUUUAACCGAAACUGGAUAUUGUUUCUUAUUAGGAGAGAUUAUUACCGCACCGGCCCCGUUACCAUAUACAUUCACUGCACCAUCAAAAAACAUCGUCCACCAAUCUGUCUUCUCUUAUUCUUUCUCUAUUGACAAUAUAUCUUCAUCAGGGAAGUCAAAAUCCAAAGGUUCAUAAUCUUCAACAGCAUUAUCGGCCAGAUGGUCUGCAAUUGCACUUCCUUUUACGGCUUUCCUUGUCAUGUAUACUAUGUCAUAUUCUGCUAAUAGAACUUGCCACCUUGUAAUUCGACUUGAGAGAAAGGGCUUGUUACAAAUAUACCUCAGAGGAUCCACUUUUGAAAUUAACCAAGUGGUAUAGUAUAACAUAUAAUGUCGCAACCUCUUUGCAGCCCACACCAACGCACAACAAAGCCUUUCUAUCUCCGUGUAUCUAGACUCACAUUCAGUGAAUUUCUUACUUAAGUAAUAAAUAGCUCUUUCCUUCCUUCCGGUUUCAUCAUGCUGACCCAAUACACAUCCCAUGGCCGCUUCAGUCACUGUUAGAUACAAUACUAAAGGUUUUCCUGAUACCGGAGGCACCAGUAAAGGUGGAUUUUGUAAAUAAUGCUUGAUUUUAUUGAAUGCCUCCUCACACUCCUCAUUCAAGGUUCCAGGAUUCUUUUUCCUUAGUAGUCGGAAUAUUGGUUCACACGUCGUUGUUAACUGAGCUAUGAACCUAGCAAUGUAGUUUAAUCUUCCCAAGAAUCCUCUUACUUCUUUCUCCGUCUUAGGGGAUGACAUAGCUUGGAUGGCCUUCACUUUAUCUGGAUCCACCUCUAUACCUCUAUCACUUACCACAAAUCCUAACAGCUUACCCGAUUUAACUCCGAAUGAACAUUUUACAGGAUUGAGCCUUAAUUCAUACUUCCUCAGUCUCUCAAAUAACUUCCUCAAAACUUCAACAUGAUCCUCUUCCGGUCUGCAAUUGCACUUCCUUUUACGGCUUUCCUUGUCAUGUAUACUAUGUCAUAUUCUGCUAAUAGAACUUGCCAUUGCUCUUUGAUAGGUUGCUCCUGCAUUCUUCAAUCCAAAUGGCAUGACCUUAUAGCAGAAUGUUCCCCAAGGUGUGACAAAAGUUGUUUUCGUCUUAUCCUCCGGAGCCAUUUUUAUCUGGUUGUAUCCUGAAAAACCAUCCAUAAAGGAAUAUGUGGAACUCCGGGCAGCGUUGUCUACUAAAACAUCUAUGUGUGGUAGCGGAAAAUCAUCCUUGGGGCUAGCUUUAUUCAAAUUCCGAAAAUCCACGCACACUCUAAUCUUCCCCUCCUUCUUAGGCACCACAACAAUGUUAGAUACCCAUUGCGGAUAUCUAACUACUUCUAGAAAACCAGCAUCCCAUUGCUUCUCGAGUUCUGCCUUGACCUUGAUCCAGACAUCCGGGUGGGCCCUCCUCAGCUUCUGCUUGACUGGCUUACAACCUUCUUCCAACGGUAUCUUGUGUACUACAAUAUUUGUAUCCAAACCAGGCAUAUCUUCAUAGGACCAAGCAAAGACAUCUGAAUAUUCUUGUAAUAGGGUGAUCAUUUUGAUCCUUUGUUCAGAAGUAAUUAGGGUACCUAUUUUUAACUCUUUCUUAAGCUGAUCACUGCCCACAUUGAUGGUUUCGAGUUCCUCGACGAUAGGCUUCCAAGUCUGUUCCUGUUGUUCUACUAGCCUAGUGAAUUCACUGAUAUUGCUUUCAUCCCACUCUUCUUCUUCCAUAGCUAUCACAUGCUCGUUCAAGUUUGGCCAUUUAUUCUUGAUGCUAAAUGUAUGUGAUGUUGUGGGAGAUCCGCUUUCAGGAUUCCUGAAAGCGGGAAGUGUUUGGUGUAAAUGCAUAAAAAAAAGAAGGCAAUUUGUGAAAAGUGCAUGAUCUCACAAUUUAUUUAAAGAAAAGGUGGGCUCCAUGACAAACAUAAAAUCUAGCUGACAUCAUGAGCCUUGAUUGUCAACUAGAGGAAAUAAAAGCAAACAUAAGCAAUGACAAAAGCAUGUUAAGACAAACAAAAUUGGUUUACAUUUUGAAAACCACUGGAGCUUCUUGGGUCACCCAGUUCUGAAACUUCUCGUCUUGAGCUAACUUGCGCACAAAGGUCUUGGCGGAUACUUCUUCUAUGGUGUAGACCGUCAGUUGUGGGAGUGCUUCAUCUCCCUUUCUUGCUACUGUCUUCAUGUCAUCUCCUUCCACCUUGUUUUCCCCCAAGGUAUUUAUGCUCAUGUUUGACAGCUCUUGAUCAAGGCUUUCGGCUUCUUUAUCAUGUUACAUUAUGUAUGCAGCUUUUGGGAAUGACACGCUAAGGGGAGGGAUUUCCAGCUUUUCUUCAUCAGGCUCUCUUCCUUUAAUUCUAGCCAUCCUUCUUGCCCUUCUCCGACCAGCAGCCCACCGAUAAUCCUCUUGGUUAGGUUGGUACCCUAGCCCAAAUCUUUGAGCAGCACUUUUCAUCUUUGCCAGAUUAACCCCUUCUGGUAUCCUAAUAAUAAGGUUAUACUGAAAUGGGAUUCCGCGGUUCAAGAAGCAUAGACUUGCCAUCCUUGCUGCUUCUGAGAUCCUUGGCCUUCUUAGCACUGUGUUCUCCGACACCCAGUCGGUGUUCACAAUCUCAAAGGCAUGGAUAUUGUUACCCUUGCAAUCAUCCGCUUCGAUAAAAGGCACAGCUACAUUCUUUAUCAUGGAUACUGUGUCCUCGGCCUUGACAGUUACCAACAUCCCAUUCAUGAUAUACUUUAGGCAUUGGUGCAAUGACGAAGCUACUACCCCCGCUGCAUGAAUCCAAGGUCUUCCUAACAACAUACUAUAAGAAGGGUGGAUAUCCAUAACCUGAAGUGUUACUAGGAACAUUUGUGGUCCCACAUAUAGCUCCACUUCUAAAGUCCCAAUUAUUGGCCUAGGCGACCCAUCAUACGCUCUGGCCAUCAUAGUACUUGGCUUAACAUGGGAUUCAUCGAUCGGCAUUUCUUCUAGCAUGUGCUUUGGCAACACGUUAAGGGCCGAGCCAUUAUCAAUGAGUACUUUUCCUAUGAGGCAGUCCUUGCACCUAACCGUAAUGUAUAAAGGCUUGUUAUGUCCGGUACCUUCAGCAUCGAGCUCGUCAGCUGUGAAGUACAGGUAAUUCGUUGCAUGGAUCCUCCCCACUAGAUGCUCCAUGGUUUUGUGUUCGAUGUCUUGGGGUACAUAUGCCUCAUUCAAUACCUUUUGCAAGGCGUUUCGAUGCGGCUCAGAGCUGAGUAUCAAGGACAUAAGGGAGAUCCUAGCUGGAGUCUUCUUUAGUUGAUCCACUAUGCAAUAUUCGCUAUGCUUGAUCAACUUCAAGAAUUCAUUCGAUUCCUCUUCCGUUACUGGCUUGUUAACUUCUAGUGCUUUGUCCAGAUCUACCACUUCUUUGCCCUUUGACUUCCUCAACUCCUCGGGCGUAAAGCAACGACCACUCCUGGUCAAACCCCUUAUCUCAGGCUGGAACAAAGGAAGAGGAGCUCGGACGUUAGAGGCAUAACCAUAAUUAUAAGGCAUGGCAUUGUGAUUCCCUUUUGUGUAGGGCGGUUUAACCAAGAUUAGCCUUGGGGGCCCAUGAGCUGUUGGCUGGAUCCUGCAUACUCCUGUCAUUUCAUCUUGACCUUCCAUCAUACUCACCUCACCGCUGUUCUUCAUGGGUUCAAUCCUCAACUCCCCCAUUUUUAGCAUUUUUGCAAUCUUUUCGCAAAACUCGAUGCAAUCCUCAAUAUGAUGUCCAUCUCUUCCAUGGUAUUCACAAUAAUCAUAUCCCUCCGAAUGGCUCUCCACCUUUGUCUUUAGAAAUCCUGAUUGUACCAACAUGCCGUACAACCUCUUCAUGGACACCUUCGACACCUUGCAUUGAUUUCCCACUUCGAUCAUGCCUAUUCCACUACUAUUUGGGGCAUGCUUAGGCAAUGGGUUUGAAUUAACAUUGGGCUUGUCCUCAAAGGAUACCCAUCCCAUCUUAAUAAGCUCCAACAACCUCUUCUUGAAGGCGUAACAGGUUUCAAUCCCAUGCCCGGGAUUACCCCCAUGGUACUCGCAAGCCAACUCGGGCUUGUACCAAAUUGGGAAUGGUGGUUGUAGUGGUAGUGUAGGUAUAGGAGCUAUUUGUCCAAUGCUCAGAAGUUUGGCGUACAUGUCCUUCAAAGGCAUGGGUAAGGGUGGCAGUUGUUCUGAAGUGUAUUUUAUAUGGGGUCUUUGGUAGUGAUUUUGGUAGUUCGAUUGGUUAUUUGUUCGAUUAGGGGAAAAAGGUUGGUUAAAGUUUAUGCGUGAGAAUUGAGAGGUAGGUACUUGAGGAUUAUGAAAAUCUACUCUCUUGCCCUUAUACCCACCUUCCAGAUUGUUAACAUCGCCUUCUCUCUUUCUUCCAAUAAAACCCUUCUUCUCCACUGGCAUCGCUAUUCGCCCAGCUUUAAUCCCUUGUUCUAUCCUUUCAGCUAUGCGUACCGCAUCAUAGAAGUGUUGAGAGGAGCUACCCAUUAGGUGCUCAUAAUAAGGUGCUUUGAAGGUAUUGGCAAACAAGCUCACCAUCUCUGUUUCUAUCAAAGGGGGUUGGACAUGCAUUGCUUCAUCCCUCCAUCUUUGCGCAUAAGCCCUUACUGACUCCUGGCUCCUUUUCUCCAUUGUCAUUAGACUUGUUCGAUCAGGAGCGAUUUCCAUGUUAAACUUGUACUGUUUGAGGAAAGCCUCCACCAAGUCUCUCCAGCUCUUGAUCCUGAUGCUGUCUAACCUCAUAUACCAGCUUAAAGCGGAUCCUGCUAGGCUAUCUUGAAAGAAAUAGAUUAGCAAUUUAUCAUCACGGAUUACUUCCGCCAUUUUGUUGCAGUAGGAUCGAAGGUGAGUGUUUGGGCAUUCCAAACCGGUAUACUUAACGAACUCUGGUAUUCGAAAAUCUUUUGGUACCACGAUGUUUGGUACCAAACAUACUUCGGCUGCUCUCAUAGGGUCAAACCAAUCAUUACCCUCAACUGCCCUUAAUCUUUCUUCUAGUGCAAAUAGCUUGUCUUGGUCCAUCACACUGGGAGACCUAUUAUCCGGGACUCCCUCCGUUGUUAAGUCCACAGUGAUUGGAGCGUGAGUUGGCUGGAUAGGGGUGAUAGGCACGAAAUGUUGUUCAUUGGCCGAGUUUGCCCCCUGGUUUUGGGAUACUUGAGGGACGUACGCUGCUGGCGCUCCUUCAGGUUGUUGUGCUGAUGUUCCCUCCCCAUUCUUAGCUCUUAGAAGCUGCUCAAGUAAAUCAGUUAACCGAGAAACUUCAUUUUUUACGGACUCCAACUCGGUCUGAUAAUGUGACUCUAAGUGAGCUCUCUCUUCGUUCUCCAUUCUUGCUCUAGACCGGGUGUUGUGGACCUUGGAAGUGGGACCUAUGUUUCACGAUCUGGCGCAUAUGAUAAAUUAAACAAAUGCGUGAUGAAAAUAUGAUGCUCGUGCAAAUGUAUAUUUUAAAAUUGAUUCAUGACUUUCGUAAUCCUUUAGGCAAGAUUUCUGAGUUGACCCGAUUGCUGUAAAGGGGGUUUGCCAAGUUCUUUAUCAUAGUAGCUUACCAAAACACACUUAGAAAGAAAGAUAGGUCAUAGCCUUCUUAUAAAUAGAAGUUGCUCAUACAGUGAUAACAGAACAAGGGCGUUAUACAUUGCUAUCCUUAAAAGGCAUUUCCUCUAUUAGCUAAGUCCCCAAUAAAACAGGUGAUGGCCGCCAUAUAUUCUCGAUACUUUGAAGCAUCAUUUCCAACUUGAGUAGCUUGUCGUUGCAACCUUUCCGCAUAACGGGCUGCUUGCUCGACCUGCUUCGUUAUAUGCCUUAUCUUAUCAUGGAACACAGUGUUAUCUGCAAUUAUCACUUCGUUGCUGGCUCCUAGGGCUUCAUUACUUCUUUCUAACACUCGAACCAUAUCAUCCGACCGGGCCAACUUAUCCCUUACCCUCUGCAGUUCUUCCUUUUCGAUAUCCAGCUCGGCUAUUUUGGAGUUAAUUUGGACUGUAAAGCUGUCCAUGUAACCCUGACAUUCUUGACGCUCUUGCUUAGCCUUACUGAGCUCCUCUUCCAUCUCAAAGUAAUGGCUUCUCAACUCCCUCAACUCUUCUACUUGUAUCUCGAUCUCAGAUUGUAAAGCCAUCAUUCUUCCUUUCGAAGACUCAGCUCUUUUCUGGUAAUCUCUCAUAUCAGACUCGGCGGCCUUUCUUGCACUUCUCUCUUCCUCAAGCUGCACCAUAUAUUGAGCUCUAAUCCUUCUUUCCUCUUCUAUGUCGAGCUGGGCUAGCUGAUUCUUCUCCUUUUCAACUUCUAUUUUCUUUGAAAGAAUGCUCUUUCCCUUCUUCAAGGAAUCCAUCACCUCUUUGUCAACAUUCAUCUUGCCUUUUGUUGAUCUUUUAACCCUUGCCAACUCUUUUUCUGCGAGCCCAUUCUUCUUAACCAGCUCAUCAUAUUCGGUCAUUCGUUUCUUUAGCUCAGCCUGGACCCCUUUUGCUAUUUCUUCCGCUACCUCGGCCCUUUUCUGCCAUUCUUUCAAUGAUGUUAAUUGCUUAUCCUGUUUUUCCAACUGCUGGUUCAAGAAAACCCUCAUCGUGUUUUCUUCCUCUAACUGACUUUCUAAUAACUGUUGUUGCCCUUUACUUUUACUGAGAUCGAUUACACAUCGUUCUAGCUGCUUUCUUAACUCCUCCUCAUUAUCAGUCCUUUUCCUUUUUUGUUGCUCUAUUGUGGAUUCUGGAUGUUUUGGUAUUGAGAAAACCUUCACUUCAGAAAGCUCUUCAUUCCUCCAAACUGCAUAAUUCUGGCUAAAUGAUGUUUCAAACGUGCUCCCUUCUUCCCUUUUUAUCAACAGGGGUCUUUCCCAAUCUUGUCGGAUAAGCUCCAUCUCUUCGAGGAAGGGUUGGUGCUUGAAUAGACCGACGAAAUCAGCUAAACCCAGAGUUCUUGGUACGUACUGCAUUCCCCCUAACUGCCUUGUUACCAAGGCGGGCGCGUAACUGAUGUACCCGGUUACACCAAUCAAAGGAACCCAUAUCCUGCUUCCGCAACUCAUUGUGCAGAUGGCGUUGUUCAUCCAUGGUGCUUUCCAUUUAUCUAUCCAUGCUUUCUCAUCCCAAUUCUUCCAAGUCUCAUCCAUGGUAACCUUUAACGGUCGCAGGUCAAACCACCAAAAGUUGUUAAAAAUGUCCCUUGGUGUUUCGAUAUGACUGAUAAUCCAUAAAUACAACAUAGGGGCGCAACACCUCAUGGCUCCUUUUCCAUGCAUUCUGCAGUGGUUGAGUGAUAACAUGGUUUCUCCCAAAAUGGCUGAUGAGGGAUUGAUCCGGUCACGUUCGUAUUCUAUGAAGACACUUGCUGCUUCCAAACUGAUGACUCCGAUUUCGGAAGGGAACAAUACUAGCCCAAAAAUGGCGAAGGCCACCAACCUGUAUCGUUCUUCUCCUAACUUGCCUUCUUCAGCAUUUUUCUUCAUUCGGGCUUCUAUGACCUUCCAUUUGAAACCCCCCUCGGCGACUCUACAUUGACUGAUCUUUCCCAAGCCUAAUAAACUGACUACCUCCGAAGCUGUGUCUUCAAAUCUUCGCCUUAGAUAGAUCCUGUGGCUGUUGUUUGGAAAAUCUAGAAUCCUUUCAUAUUCCUCCAAAGUCGGUGUCAUAUCAAUGUUCCCAAAGGUAAAACUCCGAUAACUAGGAUCCCAAAAAUUCAGUAGGGCUUUGAUUGCUGUUGCUUGUACGGGUAACCUCAUUAGUUGUGCAAUUCUCCCAUAUCGCCUUUCAAAAAUAGUCUCAUCAAUGUAUUCCAUAAUAGACACUAACUUCCCCAAGUCAUUUACCAUGUGAUUUAUCUUAGUAAUGCAAGGCAACCUACUAGCAUCGAUUCUUGGGCAUUUUCCUUCAGCUACUUGAGUCAACUCAGAUUCUUGCCCAAACUCUUGGAAAGAUAGGUACUUAGUCAUGAUUUGGUUCAAAACCUGGAUUGAUGAAUUUAGCAUUAUUAAUCAUGAUGCAAAUGAACGUAAGAUAGAUAUCUUAAGGACAAGUUCUAUUUAAUAGGUGAGAAUGGGUAGGUUUUCUAUCUGGUCUUUAAAAGGGUCUCAUAUCUGCCCAGUGACGUUCUUCGUAAAGACAGUAUGGGGGCGUUGCAAGGAACAGUUAAGGUAAGUAUACCCACCAUUACCAAGCAGGCACUCAGAUAUGAGUUGGGUGUUUCACGCAUCUGAACCCUGACCGAUAGUCAUAGGGCAAAUCGCUAAUCCCCCACCUAACUUAAAGCUUUGUGUGUGCUUCUCAAAAAGUAUGUGAUGCAUGUGACAGUUUUAUAAGAUGCAUGAGACAGUUGUAUACAAAUGCAUGAACAAAAUGUGUAAAAAUAUUUAAAGCAUAUAAGCAGAUAACAAAAGGAAAGGUAUAUUAAAAAACACACGAAAACAAAAACAAUUCAGACAAAAACAAAGCUUAGUCCACAAGAAUCCCCAGUGGAGUCGCCAUUCUGUCGCGGGUGCGCGGUGUCGCGGCGAAAAUUCCACUUUUUAGAAUCUAGGAAGUGUGUAUGGUAUCUAUCUGGUAAAUGUGGGGAGACAAGAAAAUAGUCUUUUGUUGGUAGGAAAAUGGAAUGGGAGUCGCCACCUAGUAUUUUGGUCACUAGGAACCCUAACUGGUCUCAAAGAUUGGGUACGGGGACUGGUUGCGUAAAGGGAAGGUAUUAGCACCCCAAAUACGCCCUACCUAAAGUAAGCUGCAUUGUUUAUUUGUCUGAUAAAAUUCAAGGUCUCGUUGUGUUUCCUAGUUGUUGGUCCGUCUAUGGUUCAAGAAAAGUCCUCCUCAAUAAGGAGGUCCUUAUCUUAAGGGGUAAAACCUAAUCCUUCUAACGUCUAUGUAUGUUGGUCCGUCUAUGGUUCAAGAAAAGUCCUCCUCAAUAAGGAGGUCCUUAUCUUAUCGGGUAAAACCUAACCGUUCUAAUGUCUAUGUAAAAAAACCCAUAUUUUUAAUAUCAGGAAUACGUUUUACGUAUAAAUUCGUAAUCCCAAAUACUAAAAGAAGACAAAAAGAUUUUUUAAGAAUUUUUGAAAUAUUGGCCUAGUUCUCAUGGCUUGAAUAAACUGGUUAUUAAAGCCAAAAUGCAUGCUAAUACAUAUAUUGUUUUGAAAUUUCCUUUUGUUGUGUGAAAAUAUGAUGUUAGAAUAUUUAUAUAUAUAUAUUGGAGAGACUAGGCCGUAUGCAUGAAAACAAAACAUUUUUUUUUGUAAUUAUGUAUUUUUUGAUGUUUUGACGAAAAUCGGGUAUUUUAAUACCGGAUUUGUAUCUUUACCGUAUAAAAAUACAAACCGACAUUGAUCAAAAUACAGUAAUAAAAUUACAACAAAAUCGCAUAUUUUUUAAAUGAUUUUUGAAGAACCCUUUUUUAUUUUUUUGUUUUUUUUUUUUUUAAAACAUGUAUACAUAUAUAAAUAAUACAAAACAAUAUAAUAUAUAAAUAUAUAAUAUUAAAUGGGUUGGGCUGGUCCGGCCCAACCAACUGGGCCGGACUCAGCCCAAAAAAUGUUGGGCCGAUUUCGGCCCAAAAUGGAUUGGGCCGAUCUCGGCCCAAAAAACUGAUAUUCUUCUCUGGGCCAGAACAAGCAGAUAACAAAAGGAAAGGUAUAUUAAAAAACACACGAAAACAAAAACAAUUCAGACAGGGCCGGGCCAGGAUCUGCCUGCAUGCAGAACGCUACUCGUUCUGCAUGCAGAGAAGGAAAAAAAAUAAACACCAGAACAAGGGGGGAGGAAGAAUUACCUGGCGCGGAGGAGGCGAUGGCUUGCUGAUUGGAAUGCUUCGCUGGUGGUGCUGUGGUGGAGGCCGGUGGCGGUGUCGUGGCUCACGGACGGCGGCUCCAAGCGGCGGUGCUGCUAUUUCAAACGGUGGAGGGUGAGGUUACUGCUCUUCCCUUCUCCUCCGUAUGCCUUCCUCUUCUUUCGUUUUCGGUGGUUUCCUUUUAUCCUCCCGGUUUGUUGUCAAGUUUCCUACCCCGUUUCAAGCUUUUCCUUCCUCUCCGUUUGAGUUUAUCAGUGGUUCCCUUUUUAUUCGGUUCUGUUCUCUGUUUCUCUCUAUUUCCUCUUCUUUCGGUCCUCUCCCCUUUCUCCUCCCUUUCUUCUGUGUUCUUGGGUCUAUUUAUAGAGCCAAGAGGCGGGGCUUUUUAUGGCUGCACAUGGGGGGCAGGGGCUGCGGCGGUUGGUCGGCCAUUCGGGUGCAGCUGUCGAGACGUUACUCCCCUGUUUUCUGCAUGGCGCGCGGCGGGUGGUCGGCCAGCGGGCGUGGCUGGCGAGGUGCGGCUCCCUCGGUUUCCUGGCAAGGCAUGCGGUCAAGAGAGAGGCAGCACACGUGAAGAAGAAAAACCCACCAUUUUGCUUUCUUCCCCUGCUGCACGUCCAUGGGAGGAAGAAAGAGGAACAGUGUCGUUCAAAACGACACCGUUCCGAUCUUCUUCUUCUUCUUUUUUUUUUUUUUGGCAUGAAACGGCGUCGUUUUAGGCAAAACGCGCCGUUUCAUUUAAGUCCAGCAAGACGCCAAAACGCGUCAAUUUGCAAAGCAGCCCUCAAUUAUCUUCUUUCCUUCAAUUGCAUCCCUGCCAAUUUCGGUCUUCGCCCCUAUAGUUGGCCGCGUUUUUCACAUUGGUCCUUGGCCUCUGAUUUAUGCAAUUGAGCCCUCAAUUGAUUAAUAAACUUUCAAUUUCUUCAAUUAGGCCCCUGAACCGAAUAAUUGCAGCCCCUCCAUUUACGCGCCUCUUCCAAUUUGGUCCCUGAUUUCGGAUUUUCUCAAUUAAGUCCCCAAUUGGCCCUUAAACUUCAAUAUUUAUGCAAUUAAGCCCCUGAUUUGACCUAAUAAAUUCCUAAAAAAUAUAUUUUGGCCCCAGAACUUAAAUUUCUUCUAAUUAAAACCCAAAUUGACUUAAAAAUCAAUUUUUCUUACAAUCAAAUCCCCUAUAAAUUCAUUUAAAAAUCCAAUUAAGUCCAUAAACAUCCAAAUUUGGGCUUUUCUCCUCAAAUUUCAAAAUUCCCCUCUCAAUAGGGCUCUCAUCCUUCAAGAAUAUACUGUCCUAACUCCAAUCUUUGUAUUUUUAACCUCAUUGACCAAUUUUCCAACCAUUUUCUGAGCACUCCCACCUCUUAUUAUUUUUUAUAAUUUCUUCCGGCUAUAUAUUUAUAUUUUUAUGGGGGGAACCCAAAAAUGGGUUACAACAAUAUGGACUAAAAAUGAAAGAAGGGUCGAACUGUCUUGUACUUGACAGAUUUGGUUGAGUAUUAUAACAGAUAAUUUCGGGGGUGUUAAGGGCAGAAUUGGUCUUCCGAUCCUUUAGUAGAGUUGUAGAACCGUGUCUUACCUUUCCAACAAGCCAAACCACACUUAAAACUGAAUUCUAUAACUUUACUUACGAAUUAAUGAGGUAGUUGAAGAAAAUAAUCAGAAAAUGAAAUCAAAACAUGGUGAUGAAUUAAUUUGAAUGAGAUGGCAAUAGUAUGAGAACACACAUUGUGAUAAAAUUAGAAGAGGGUACUAAUUGUAUCUCUUGAUUCUCAAACAGAAGAGAUGCCUGGAGUAGGGUCGUCAGGAGUUGAUGUGACUCGAUCGGUUGGGGAAAUAGGUAGGUGCAUCACACCUUGUCUUUUCAUUUUGUGUAAACUCAUUGAUAAAUUUCAAAAUUUACUGUUUUAUUGCUUUGAUAAAUAUUGGAUUGAAUAUAAGUACCUUGUAUAUAUUGAUGUGUAUCAACUAGUUAUUAUAUAAUUGGAAUGGAUACGAGUACCUUACAUACAUUGAUAUGUAUCAAACUUGUGAUGAUAUUAUUAGAAUGAAUAAGAGUACCUUGCGUACAACGGUAUAGAUCAAUUAGUUAAGAUAAUGUUUGAAUGAAUAUGUACACCUUGCGUAGAUUGGUAUGGAUCAAGAUCGCUAGGAUAAUGUUUGAACGAACAUGAAUACCUUGUGUACAUUGUUAUGUAUCAAAUUAAUUAUGUUAUUAUUAGAAUGAAUAUGAUUACCUUGCAUACAUUGAUAGGUAUUGAAUUAGCCAUGAUAACUUUGGAAUAGAUGUUAUUAUCUUACAUACUUCAGUAUGGAAUAUGUAUACACAAUGACUAGGAGAUUGGAGGAGAAAUGAUAGAUAAUUGGUCAUUGUAGUGUCGGUGGCUAAUGAUACGUUAUGAUGCUACUUAGCACCAUGAUGAGGGUGGUUAAGGGCAUAAAUUGAUGCUUGGCACUGUGAUGAGGGUGACCAAGGUUAUGUGAAUGAUGCUUAAUGAUCGUAGUGUUUGUUACAAUGUAUAUGAUGUUAAUAAGAAGAAUAAAAGGGAAUCGGUACAAAUAGAAGGUUGAGAAGACAUUGAUUAGCUAUCUAGGUUUGGAUAGCUAAUGGUAUCGAUGAGGUUCCAUUGGUACCGACAUUUUAGAUGACAUUAAUUAGCUAUCCAGGUUUGGAUAGCUAAUUGUAUUGAUGAGGUUCCAUUGGUACCGACAUUUCAGAUGACAUUGAUUAACUAUCCGGGUUUGGAUAGCUAAUGGUAUCGAUGGGGUUCCAUUGGUGUCAGCGUUCCUUAAAUUGAUUAGUCAAUCCCGAGUAAUUAGGUGACUAAUGAUGUUAGUAAAGAUUUAUAACAUCGGCAUGGUUACUCCUGGUUAAGGGAAAAAAAUAAGUUGAUUAAUUAUUCUAGGUCGUGAAUAGUUAAUUAUAUCAAUCGGUCCUAUUGGUAUCGACAACCAUUUCUGGUGUAAUUAGCUACUCCAGGUAAGGAGGCUAAUGAUGGCAAGGGUUCUUGACAUUGACAACUUUGAUGGUAAACCAGAUAUGAAUAAGAAUUGAUUAACUAUUUUAGGGUAGAAAUAAUUAAUGAUAUCAAUUAGUUGUAUUGAUAUCGACACUUAAAUGGAAUUGAUUUGUCUAACCCGAUAUUGGGAGACUAAUGAUACUAAUGAGAUUCAAUAGUAUCGGCAAUUACCUUCCGAAAAAUGAAAGAGAAAAUAUUGAUUAGUUAUUCCAAAAGAAUGAGAUAAGCUAAUGAUACCAAGAGAGGAAUAUCUUGAUAUCAAGUGAGAAUUGAUUCAUAAGGAGAUGGUGUUCGAAACUAUUGAGUUGUAUUGAGAUUUCCAAGAUGAAAUUAUUUUCGGCAAAUGGGAUAGGAUAUUAGAUGGAUAUUGGUAAUAGAUGGAAAAUAUAUGUUGUAAAAGUGGUCUAUGCCUAAUUUUAUGUAUCAAAAGAAAUUCUAUAUAAAUGAUUACAUGUCAUUGUUAUUGUUUGUUACUACCUUUUUAUAUUUAUAUGUACAUGUUAAUUUUUAUUUCCAGGUUCAUUAGGGUCGCGUCAAGAGUUAUCUUAGUUUAGUUACCUUUUGCUUUCGGCCAUGUAAUGAUUUGUAAAUUAAGAGACUUCUCUCCUAAAACUUGAAAUGUAAUAUUAACCCGUACAUUUGGAUGUAUGACUUUAAUCUAAUGUUUGUAAUUCUAAGUACCUAUUUAACCAUGCAUGUUUAUAGUUGUAAUCGAAUCCUUCACUUGAAUAACAUUUUAUGAUGUUAUUAUGCAAGAUAUAGUUUAUAUGAUGUAACAAUUGAAUUAUGCAUUGUUAUUUUGUGAACUUGAAUUGUAUAAUGUUAUUGAAUAAGAUGUGUUGUGUUGGUGAUGAUGAGUUGAGUUAAGAUCCAGGAUGAUUGGAUCAGAUUGUGAAAUGAAAUUGGAAGUGUAAUAUGAAUUUGUCGAUAACUUGGGACCUCCCUGUAUAGAGGAGACUCUGCUAAAAUUUUGGUAGAAAUUUUGAUGGAACUUGUAUAUAAAAAUAACAAUGAUGAAAAAAAAUCAGGGUUGUUACACCUUCUCUUCACGCAACCAGUCCCCAUGUCAGAUCUCUGAGACCAGUUAGGGUUCCUAGUGAUCAAAAUACUAUGUGGCAACUCUCAUUCCCUCUUUCCACUAAUAAAGGACAAGAAUUCCUUGUCUUUCCCAUUUCCCAACCCGAGAGGAUGUUAGCCGUGAUGUCACACACGUGCGACAACCAUCAACAACUCUUGUGAGCCACCAAGAAUCUCCAUUGUGUAUAUAACAACCAACCACAUAACUCAGGAAGCUCUGACUAGUACUAGCAACUUCAAACUAACCACUUACCCUCUCCCAUGGUGACUGUAGCACCUAUAAGCAGUAGAGAGAAGAAUUAAAGAGAAAGAGGAAUUACAAUAGAAAUAGAACAAAGUAGAAAUUUCAACUCAGCCGAUCUUCUUUCUCUGGUUGUUGUGAGCCUCACCAUUGGGGUUAGCAGGAAGAGGAAGGACUGAUCUACCAUACUGAGGUCCUCACACGAUUUGAGGUCUCGUCAGCAUGACGCGCCAACAUUGGCAGUUCUCUUCUAGGGCGUGCAACAGACACAAUGCCAUUGAUCAACCUACUUCCAAUAGAUUCCAAACAUCUUUAGGCAUUCUCAAAGGUGAAAUAUUAAUGUUAAGAUUGAAAUUUGUUAAUGUUGUUUGGUUUUAUGAACAUAAUUUUGAGGUGAUGAGAAAGUUGUUUGAUUUGGAGUUUUGUUAUAAAUAUAAUAUGAUAUAAGUAUCAUGUGAAAAUAAUAAAUGAGCAUUAUUGAUUUCGAUUGUUUGAUUAAAAAAUAAUUGAAAAGUAUGAAUUGUGAUUUUGAAGAUAUGAUAGACAACAUGUACAUUUUUUUAUAAAAGAAAUGUUGAUUAGAAAUUGUUUGUUAAUUGGCUAUGUCCAUAUAAAAAAUAAAAAACAUGCAAAAUGUGUGAGAUAUUUGUUUUUGGAAGUUAGUUGGAUGAAUAUUAUAAGAUGGUUGAAUAUAACCAUAAAAUUUAAAAUUUGAGAAUUUUUAGAUCAUUGUGAAAAUUCUUGCAAUGAAUAUAUAUGGACCGAUUAUUUUUAUAAAAAUAACGAUUGAUUAAUUAACCCAAGAUUGUAUGGUCUAACCUUAGGCUUUAUCUUUCAGGUGUUGAUUAAUAAAGAAAAAGGAAAAGAAAAAGAAAAAGAAAAAGAAAAUUGUCCUUGUAUUGAUUGUUCUUAUUAAUUGAUUAAUUAAUCCAAGAUGGAAUGGUCUUCUACUAGGUCCUCUCUUUCAGAUGUCGGUUAUCGAGUAACAAGAUCAAUUAAUAUUUGAUCGAUGAAUUAACUGUUUCUAUUAAUUACUAAUUGACCCAUGAUGAUAUGAUCUAAUAUUGGGUUAUGUUCUUCUAGUGUCGAUAAGUGAAUAAUAGCACCAAUUAAUACAUGAUCUCUAGGAUAUUAACCAAUAAAAUUAAGUAGCCCAAGAUGGAAUGGUCUAAUAGCGGGCCCUGUUCUUUGAUUGCUACAUAAUGAAUAAUAUGAAUUUUUCAACCCGCAAUAAGCCUCAUAUAUAGGUGUGCUCAUCAUUUGCAAAUAACUGAGGAUAGAAAGGUCCAAUAGUAGAACUUGUCCUUUAAAUGUUUUCUAAUAGAUAAUAAGAACUAUACAUCGAAUAACAUACAUACUAGUUUAGGUGAACCAAAAACAAAACACAUUUAUCAUUAAAAACAAACAACAAUGCAGCUUACCUUGAGUAGGAUGUAUAGGGUUAUGUCUAUAUUACCUAAUACAUAACCAACCCCUUACCUAGAACUUCUAAAGAUCAGUUAGGAUUUCUAGUUACUAUAAAUCUAGGUGACGACUUUUUUUCACAUAGCUCGCCUCGAUGUUCACAUGCAACACAAGUUUGAGCAAGUGAACCGAGUUACAUGUUGACCCUUUAAGUCACUCGAGUUUGACUGGAUCAUUGUCCACUUCUGUUCAGAAGAAAAUCAAAACAAAACAAGGUUUUGGGUCAACGAAUCAGGAAUGCAUCCUGUUGGACUAGACCAAGUUUAAUGACUAUGACUUACAUAACUUCUCGUAGAAAUUGCACUUGGAUCUAAGUUUUUUGAGGUAAAAAAAUAUUAUAAAAAUAGCACAAUUAAUUAGUUGCAUUGUUAGGAACGAUUCAACCAUAUAAAUUACGUUGUUCUCAACCAUACAAUUCAAUAUGCUACACUAUUAAGAAUAUCGUAAACCUUGUCAUAAUCCAUUUUUUGGUUAUUCCCAAAAUUCACUUUUUCUCUUCCAAAAAAUGAAACAAAAUAUUAAAAAAAAAAUCUAAAAAAUAAUAACAGUGAGAAGAGGCUGUCAGAGCGCCCUGAAAAUAGCUAAAAAUUGGUUGAGGAGGCUCAAAAAUUCAAAGAUUAAAAUUUGACAGUAUAUUUUACAGAUGAAGAGCCCUGUUGACAAAGAAAAAUUCAAUUUGAGGAAAAAGUCCAAAAUCAGAUGUUUAUGGACUCAAUUAAAUUUUAUUGGAGGUUUAAUUGAAUUUAUAUAGGGUUUGAUUACAAGAAAAAAUUAUUUAAAGUCAAUUUAGGCUUUAAUUGGAGGAAAUUAAGGUUCUGGGUCAAAAUACAAUUUUUUAGAGUUGAUUUGGUCAAAUCAGGGGCUUAAUUGAAUAGAUAUUGAAGUUUGAUGGCCAAUUAGGGACUUGAUUGAAGAAAUCCAAAACCAAGGACCAAAUUGAAAAAGGCGCGUAAAUAAAGGGACUGGAAUUGACCAAAGCAGGGGUCAAAUUGAAGAAAUUGGAAGUUUAUUGAUCAAUUAAGGGUCAAAUUGCAUAAAUCCAAAACCAAGGACCAAAGGGAAAAAUGCGCUGAAAUCUGGGGUUUAAAUUGAAGUUCUUCAUGGGUAAAAUUGAACAAAAUUAAAAGUUUAAAGCCAAUCAGGGGUGUUGAUAGAAAUUAAUCACAAAUUGAAGGACUAAAUCGUAAGAUACUAUUCAUCUUCUUCUCCAGCUAGGCUGGUUGGGUGGCCACCUUCCCAAGGCAUUUGGCGCCUCGUUUCUUCACCAAAUUGGAUGAAACGUACAAGAAAACAAUCCUGUGAUACCUGACUACACGCUAGUGUAAGACGUUCGGGUUGAUCGAGGCUGUAGAGGCGGUGGCACCGCCCCAAAGUGGCCAACCCGACCAGCCAUUUUUCCUGCAAACUGACAGUUCAUCAUUGCUACUUUGAGCUAAUGGUUGGGAUGCUUUCGGGUUGAGCCAAUGGUUGGGAUGCUUUCGGGUCGAACCAAGAGCUGAGAUUUUGCACCAGAAGAGACAAAGUGUCCCUCUUCCGCCACCUAUAAAUAGAUUUUAUCUUCAUGCUCAGGGGGUGGAGAAAUAUGGGUCCAAAGACAGCAAAAAAACCAGCCUUCCUCCCAAGAAUUUUUUCUUUUCUGCCGUCUGCCUCUUCACACUCUCUCUCUCUACGCCGUCCAGGCCACCACUGUCAUCACCGUCAGCUUUUAAGCCACCAUCUCCACCACAGGAAGCCAACACAGCCACCACCGCUUGCACCACGCUGUCCUCCGCCACUGUCAGAACCACCGCAGGUCAGCCUUCCCCCCCUUCUUCUUCUUCUUCUUCUUCAUCCCAGCUGUUCACUGCGUGAACAGUAGACGUGAAUUAAUUCAAUAGGCGUGAACAGUAGGCGGCCCAAUCACAAAAAUUUUCAAAAAAAUAUUUUAAAUUUUUAUACCGUAAAGAUACAAAUGCGAUAUUAAAAUACCCGGUUUUCGUCAUAACAUUGCAAAAAAAUUUAUAAAACAAAAAAAUAUUUUGUUUUCAUGCAUACAGCCAAGUCUCUCCAAGAUAAAAAAAAAAUUAUAUCAUUUUUUCUUAUACAAAAAAAAAAUAUAAAAAUAUAAAAUAUGUUUUAGCAUGCAUUUUGGCUUUAAUAACAAGUUUAUUAGAGCUAUGAGAACUAGGCCAAUAUUUAAAAAAAACCCAAAAAAAAUAUUUUGUUUUCUUUUAAUAUCCGGGAUUAUGAAUUUAUACGUAAAGCAUACUUCUGAUAUUAAAAAGGUAGUUUUUUUAUUUGACGUUAGCACAGUUAGGUUUUUACCCGAUAAGAUAAAGACCUCCUUACCGAGGAGGACUUUUCUUGAGCCAUAGAUAGACCAAAAAUUAGAGAACACAAUAAGACCUUAGUUUUUAUCAGACAAUAAAACAAUGCAACUUACCUUAGGUAGGACGUAUUUGGGUACUAAUACCUUCCCUUUACGCAUCCAGUCCCCGUACUCGAUCUCUGAGACCAAUUAGAGUUCCUAGUGACCAAAAUACUAGGUGGCGACUCCCAUUCAAUUUUUUCCAUUGAUAAAAGACAAGAAUUCCUUGUCUUUCCAUGUUAGUUGUAGUGAAAUUAAAGUUCAAUAAAAUUCUUUAACUUUAUAGGUUAAUUAAUAAUUAUCAAUGAAAAUAAUUAGUUGUAGUCGAUAUAAAUUUUCUUAACUUGGUUAAUUAAUAAUUAUCAUAAUUAUCACACCAUGACAAAUGCGAGACUCUUCAAAAUUGAAGGAAAAAAAAAUAAUGAAGUCACCACCUAGUAAUAAAAAAAAAACUAGAAAUCCUAAAAUAGACACCGGUCAGUAGGUAUUGAGUUAGUUAUACCUAUGUCACCCUUACCGCAUCCUUUCAAACGAAAGGUUACCUCCACAAUGUUUUGUUCUAAAUUUAUUCUAUGCAUCCUUUCAAACGAAAGCUUACCUCCACAAUGUUUUGUUCUAAAUUUAUUCUAUGCAUACUAUUAAUGCAUACGAAAAGAAGACUCGACGAUAAAAGAAAAUCUUGACGUUAAUCCCUAAAAAUAGAUAAUUUCAUCGAUUUAGAAAAAAAUAUUAAUGUUAAUCUCUACUGUAUGUUUUUUAAAACACCUCCACACACAAAACCCUUCAUACUGAAAAACUAAACAUAUAAGAAAAAUCAAACAUCCACAUUAAAAUUUCAUAAUUGAGGGCAUCAUACCCCAUAAGUUGCCACACCAUAGUGUAAAUCCCAACGCUUUAAAUAUCGCAAACAUUCACAUUAAUACAUGAUUAGUCUCAAUCAAUAAGCAUUUCAUCAUAAUGUCUAACAACAUAAUAAAAAAUUAUUCAAAAAAUUAAUUUAGGCCUCAACAACCUUUUAGAGUGGCUAAAGUUAAUCAAAACAAUUGGAAUUGGGUGAAGAAACUAUUAGAUUAUUGAGGGCAAUAUUGGCAUAUGACAACCACGUGCUAGUGUGUGAUAACAAUUAUUGGUGGUAUCUGGUCCCAUGCGCCAAUGAUGGUCACAGAGGUGGUUAGCUAGAUCGGGUGUGCCACUAUAUUCUUUUCUCUUCCACAUUGGUGGUGUAGUCCACCACUCUUUGACGAGGGAGAUUGAGCCACUUGAACAUUUAAUUUCUCUCUCUUGUUUUCCUUCUCUCCCCACCUCUACUUCCACUGUUACUACCUUGCUACUACUGGUUAAGAAGCUAUUGUGAUGAUGUUGGAAAGAGAUUACAACAUUGAUAGUGGUGUUUUGUUUUGGUAAGUGAGAUUGAUGUUUUUCUCUAUUUUUGGGUCCCUGGAUAAAAAGGAGAAAAAAGAAAAAAAUCAAGAAAAAAAUUGUUGCAAGAAAACCAAAAAAAAUAUAUAGCAGUAAGAAGAAGACAUGGGGGCGCCCAAAAAUGGCCAAAGAUUGGUUAAGGAAGUUCAAAAAUACAAAGAUUGAAAUUUGACAGUAUAUUAUUGAUUGAUGAAGGCCAUAUUAACAAAGAAAAUUGAAUUUGAGGAAGAAAAGUCUAAAAUCAGAUGUUUAAGGGCUCAAUUAGAUUUUGUUGAAAGAUUAAUUGAGUUUACGAAGGUGAUUGCAAGAAAAAUUAAUUUUUAAGUUAAUUUUGGUUUUAAUUGGAAGAAAUUAAAGUUUGAGAGUCGAAUUAUAAUUUUUAGGUGUUAAUUUGAUCAAAUCAGGGGUUUAAUUGCAUAAAUAUUGAAGUUUGAUGGGCAAUUAGAGACUUGAUUGAAGAAAUCCAAAACCAAGAACCAAACUGGAAAAGGUGCAUGAAUAUAAGGGCUGAAAUUGACCAAAUCAGGGGUUAAAUUGAAGAAAUUUAAAGGUUUUUGAUCAAUUGAUGGUCAAAAUGCACAAAUUCAAUACUAAGGACUAAAGAGAAAAAGAUGGCCAACAUCAGAGGUGACCUUUGAAUUUGGCAAGGAUGCAAUUGAAUUAAUUCUUAAAAUCAAAAUUCCAAUUGAGAACUUGAUGAAUAAAUAAAAAGCUAAGGACUGAUUUGGAAAUUGAUACAUUUUGGUGCCAUUUUCAUUUAAAUGAAACGACGCAUUUUGUACAAAAUAACGUUGUUUCAUUCACUGUUCAUAUAUAAAAAAAGAAGCUUGUUUUGAACUGCAUUGUGCAUCUUCUUCUUCCCUUGACGCGCAAAGGCAGGGGAAGAAAGUUUUUCUUCCCCUUACUUUCUUCCCCUUCUUUGCAGUGUCUCCCCUCCCUCUUGCCCAAAAACCCUGACAUAACCCACACCCCCUCAUGACCUACCACCAUGAUGAAAGGGGCAGGGAAGACAAGCCCUGCAGGUGACUCUAGGGUGAUUGCACAGAGGCCGCCCCAGCCACCCUACCCCGUCACCAUGACUAGACAGGGGUAGGGUCGCUCUCACUCCCCUACCCCUUAUAAAUACCCCCUCACCACGAGGUGAGGAGGGAGAAAAAAAAGGGGGAUGAUGAGAACAAAAGAAGAAGAAGGAAUGGAAAAAAAUAAAAAGUAGGAGAGGGAAGGAAAAAAACGAAAUAGAAAAAAAUAGAGAAUAGAGUUUGUUGGGCCGAAAUCGGCCCAAGUUUGUUGGGCCAACCUCGGACCAGUUUGUUUGAGCCAAAUCUCGGCCCAACCAGGGUGGGUUCAGCCCACAUUAUUGGGCUGGGCCCAACACAAUAUAUUUUUAUAAUAUAAUAUUAAUAUUAUAUAUUAUUCAAAAAAACAAAAUGUUCCAAGAAUUUUCAAAAAAACUUUUCAAAACAUUUGUGAUUUUCUCGUGUAUUUUUCUAUCAAUUUUAAUUAAUAUUGGUUGAUAUUUUUAUAUUGUAAAAAUACAAAUCUGGUAUUAAAAUACACAGUUUUCUCCGUAAAUGUUGUGUGUGUGUGUAUUUGAAAAACAAAACAAAUGCUUUGUUUUCAUGCAUAUGACCAAGUCUCUCAAAAUAUAAAAAAAUAUUUCAUAUCAUAUUUUCAUGCAAAUAAUUUUUUUAAAAAAAUACGUGUGAGCAUGCAUUUUGAGCUUUAAUAACUAGUUUAUUAAAGCCAUGAGAACUAAGCUCAUAUUUCAAAAAUAUCAAAAAAAAAUAUUUUGUGUUUCUUUUAGUUUCUGAGAUUACAAACUUUUAUAUAUAGACAUUAGAACAAUUAGGUUUUUACCAAUAUUAAAAAUAUAGUUCUUUUAUAUAUAGAUUUUAGAAUGGUUAGGUUUUUACCCGAUAAGAUUAGGAUCUCCUUACCGAGGAGAUCUUUUCUUAAACCUUAGACAAACCAACAAUUAGAAAACACAACAAUACUCUAGUUAUAUCAGACAAUCAAAUAAUGCAUCUUACCUUAGGUAAGGAGUAUAAGAGGUGUUAAUACUUUCCGUUUACGCAACCAGUCUUCGUGCCCAAUCUCUGAGACCAGUUAGGGUUUAUAGUGAUCAAAAUACUAGAUGACGACUCUCAUUUCCUCUUUCCACUAAUAAAGGACAAAAAUUCCUUAUCCUAUCCAUUUCCCCACACCACAUGCCAAUAUGGAAUUUCAGGAGGAUGUUCGCGCGAUGUUGCAUCAUGUACGACAAUUGAGAAAAGUGAUGGUUGGAUUUUGGUCUCGACUUGAGUUGUUUUGGUUGUGAUAUUGGUGAUCGAUGUUGCUAUUAUCAUUAUUAGUGUAUGUCAUUGGAAGCUGCUAUCAGUGGUCGGUGAAUUAAGUGUUCCACUAUUAAUAACAAAUGUUGAAAUUAAUUCAAUUAAACAUAAUUAACGAAUAAUAUAAUUAAAUUGCAUAAAGUAAAGUGUAAAAGGAUAGGAAUUGUAAACUCAGUUUUUAACAUGGUUUUGGCAAGUCUAUACCCACACCUCAAGCACCUAAAUUGGUCUUGUGUAUUUUGUUCUUUCACUAGUCCAAGUUGAAGAUUACAAUUGUCACUUGAUGAAUCCACACCAAGAUUUUACACCACUUGAAGAUAUUCUUUUUAUGACAGUUUGAACCUGCUGAAUCUUGAACCGAUACUAAUCCUAUAUAUAUACAAAGAAGUGUUUGAGUUCAUUUUAAUUAUGGCAUUAAAAUAAAAUAUAAAUAUUUAUAUAAUUACUGCAAUGAACAAUUAAUUCUUAAAUUCUCAUUUCAUCUUCAUUUUCUUUGGUGGCUAGGUUUUAGAGAAGAAGAAGACUCUUUUUUUCUACACUUUCACUCCAUUUUGUUUCUUUCUCUAUCUUAAAUUUUUCUUCAAGGUUUGCUAGGGUUUCUUACCCACUUUUUGUUUUCCCUCUAAUUUUUAUGUAGAGGCUAGAGUUUUUUUUUACACCUCCUCCUUUUUCUUACCUUGCCUUUCUAUUUAUAGGCUAUGGGGUAGGUUCUAGAAUCUUUAUAGGUAGAACAAUCAUAUUCUUUGAUUUUUUUCGGUACAUUUGACCCUUCAUCAUUGUUGUAUAUUUGGCAGAACAUGCUCGUGUUCUAUAAAGCUCACACCAAAUCUUAAUCAUAAAGAGUGGGAAUGAGAGAGAGAAAAAAGAAGAAGAAGAAGAAGAAAAUGGGGCUGAAAAACUUCACUGCCAUUUUUCAAAAUCAGACGACCCGUUUCCUUUCAAAGGGUAGCCAAAAAGUUCCCAUACACACCCAUUAGCGAGCUUCUUCUUUACGAAAAAAAAAACUAAAAAAAUUAGAUCAUCAUUUUCAAACCACCUUCUAGCUAGAACUGGAAACAAAAAAACAGUACAGACUCUCUCAUCAGCGCUGUCUCUUUACGCCACCCUCGAGUUACUACUAUCUUGCCCCACGUUGACUCAAGGAACCAUAGCCGCUGCUUCCACAGUACCGUUAACCUGAGGUGUUCAUUACCGGAAUCAUAACACAAGGCAGGCCAGGAGCCCACUCACGUCGUCCAUGUGCAUCUUCAGCGUGCUCGUUUUACAUUCUUGCCUCUGACCUCUCUGGACUUAGCUUUAUUCAAGCACUAGCCACUCAAAAAAAGAGUGAAGAUGAGGUACGGGAUAUCCAGUGGAGCUGUCUCCAUCAUAAUCACUCAAGGUAUAAAGCUUCCACCUAUUCUCAUGUAGUUGUAAUCUUUUUGCAUGUGCAUGCUACUGCAAAGGCAAGCUCCCGUUUUUCCUUUAUGUGCUAUGAAGUUAACAUAUAGUGUUGUAAGGUGUGUGGAUCUUUUAAGUCCUAACCUGGUCACGGGUGUUCUUUCACUUGCUACGGGUACUGAAGGGGAUGGGGUGUGAUUUUUCCUUCAAACGCAUAUGGUCUUGAAAACUUGAUUGCAUGUCCUAAGGUCAUGUUAAGACCUUGCCUAGUUAAUUAAGAAUGCUCUUACCCAAGGUUAAAGUUCAAGAACGGUAUGAGAAGGUGGAAAAAGAUGUUGACAACUAUUGGGGUCAUAGGUUUUCCUUUUUUUUUUUUUGUCUUCAGAAAAUAAAAAUGCAUAGGACUGUCAGGGAGUUUUUCCAUACCAUGCUUGGGCUUCGGAUGUAUGUUUCCUUUACGUACAUGAGAUGAUGGUUACCUUGCUUUACGUACAGAAAUCUCCAAUGACUAAAUAAAAUGAUUUUUGGUUGAAGAAGAAUCGGUAUGUGCAAGGGUUUCUGGUUCAUUUCUUUUUACUGUCCCAUGGCUUUUCGUUAAUGCUAGUACAGCUAUAUUUCUCUUUUCUAAAGUUAAGUAGGUUGAUAUAUAUAGAAAUCGGUUUAUCACGGGUUUAAGAAUAUUAAAGAAAAAAAAAAAAAAAAAGCUUUCAUGGGUCUUCAAGGCACAAACACUCAUAUGACAAAUUUUAAGUUUUCUUUUUCACUAAGGACAUGUGUGGUAAAUAUGACCAAACAUAUUUUUCAUGGCCUUUAUUUUCUUUUCUUAAUUUUUUUUUGUUUUGUCUAACAUAUCUUAGUCUAAUUUUAAUUAUUUUUCAAGUUUUGAAGAGCCAUUUUGCAACUAUAUUUUUGGUUUUCCACGUCAUUUUUUACCUUUUCAUAUUUAAAAACAAGUUUAUUAAAUCCACAGGGAUUUGGCCUAAGUUUUAAAAAUACUAAAAAAAUUAAUUUGUUUAUUUUAAUACAAUGAAUUAUGAGCUUAUAUCUAAAAUGUAUUCUCGAUAUUAAAAGGAACAAAUGCAAAAAUAUGUUUUGGCUCUAGAAUGGCUAGACUUGACCCAUAAAGCCAUGGUUCUCUGUACUAGGGUAGACCUUCUUUAACUAAUAGACAAAUCAAUGAUUAGAUAAAGAAAACAGUGCCUUAGUAAUAAUCAGAAAAAUAAACAAUAAAGCUUAUCUUAGGUAUGAUUACUAAGGGUGAUAAUGUCCAUCCUAUAUACAACUUGUCCCCUUGUCUAGACUCUGAAGACUAGUUAGAGUUUUCAGUGAUCAAAAUACAAGAUAGCAACUCCAAGCAUUUUUUAUUUAUAAAGGACAAGAAGUCCAUGUUCUUUCCACACCACACCAAAGUCCUGAUCUAGGAGGAUGAUCGCAAUGAUACCACAUCCGUGCCACAUUCAACAUUGUAUUUUCCAUGAGUUAUCCUUUCUAUUUUUCAAUUACUUUGAUCCAAAUAAUGUGUUACCCUCUCAACAUUCUUCAAAGUCAACAUGUACUUCUACUAAUUGAUCUAAAUAUGAAUGUGAUGCGAUGUAAAUGAGUAUACAAGAUUAAACAUAUGGAAGAUGGGACUUUUUAGCACUACAAAACAUGUUUGGUGGCCAAAUGCUAUUAUCGACAAAAAAGGGUUUGAUUUUCAAGAGAUAUUUAGUGUAGUGAGGAAGCCUUGCACUAUUUAGACAAUGCUCGAUAUUGGUGAUACUUGAGGUUGGUCGGCUUAUUAGAGGGAUUUCUUCAUUUAGAUGUGUUUAUAACCCAAGCCAGGUUGUUAAAAUCGCGAGUUAUGAGUCAACAUGUAUCUAACGUGCUAAAUCGGACUAAAAACUCAAAAAUAGUAAAAUCAGACUUGUGCAAAAUCAGUAAAAUCGGUAAACUCAGUCCGAUUUUAUGAGUUUACUAAAUUUGUGAUAUGAAUCAAGUCAGGUUCAAAUUUGGCCUUAAAAUAUCUGCUGACUAGUUUUGCGAGAUUGAGCAUAUAUUUCAAACUGUAUAUUGGAUAAAACUGAUAUUUUACAGGAAAAUAUUAGAUACAUAAACAUAUAUUGUGGUAAAUUGUUAGGUCAAAUAGAGUUAGGAAACAUAAUUUUAGAGGGUCAAAGUUAGUAAACUAAUAUUGUCAAAUAUGUCAAACAAGUCCUUCGUGUACUGUUUGGAACAUAUCCAGAGCUACCGGUGGAAUUUUGCUUCAAUUAAAGUUGGGAUAGAAACUAGACAUCUGAAACUUUCCAACUAUAUACGUAGGCCCAAGAAUUCAUCCAAACAAGAGAGAAUGACAUGUUUGAAAUCAGGACUCAAAUCUACCAAGAAUAUGCAAAAAAUAGAAGAUUCAGGUUACAUGGAUGAAUUUUAACAUGAAGACUUUUUUAUUAUUCUAUUUUAUUUAUUUAAUUUUAAAUAAUUAUUUUUAAUUUGAAUUUUUUCUAGCGCAUUAGACAUUGUUUAGGAAUUUGUUUUAUUAUUGAAUUUAUGUUAGUUAAUUACUAAUUUAAACUUAUUAGCUUGCAACCCAAAAGGGGUCUAUCAAGACUUAUUGUGAUAGGAACAACCAGGUUGUCACUAGGUUUAUGUGUGCUUCCUACCUUUCAGUGAUUCCCUUGUAUUGAAAAAUUUUGUUCUGUGACUUUUUAUUUCUCCAUGUCAUUAAUUUAUUGAUUCAUACUAUCUAUCUCUCUCAUUUUAUUUAGAUCGCUCAUUGAUUAUAAUAUUGUUGACUCAUUUUAUUAGAUUUUAAUGUAAUUUAAUUUCUUGACUAAAAUUAUCAAUAUAUAAUUAGUUAAAAAAUUAUUUAUGAUUUUACGAUUUUACGAUCUGAGUUUAUUUUAUAUUUUUCGUGUCGUGUCAAAAAAUAUUUUUGACAACCUUGAACCCAGGCUCUUGACUUUAUUGAUCCACAAUCCCCAAACCAUAUUCGCAAACUAAAACUUUUUUUUUAUAGUUUAAAACAAGCACCUCGUGCAUGUAUUGAUUGCUUAGUGAAUUCUUAGUUUCUCAAUGGAUUUUAUAUUCGUAAAUUUUUAAGUGAACCCAGGUUAUAUUAUCAUGAUAACUAAAAUAAAAUGAGCUAAAUUUAUUUAUAAAAUGAGCACCACACGCUUAGAUUUAAAUUCCAUAGAAAGAUUAGCACCUGAUGACAAGUUAACUCGGGAAACAAAGGUAAUAACAAAGUUUUGAGAUUGAAUUCGACACUAGGUCUACUUAGUAGUUAGUACAUAUAAGUUGAAGGAUUGCUACCUUGACCAAUGAACUGAAAAUAUCUUUAAUUUAUAAUGAAUGGCAUACACCAUACAGUUUUACCAUAUCAACAGCAUGAAAAUUGAUAAUCGAUCCUUUAGGGAUAUUAUUCCAUUUCUUUAUUAAUUAUCAUAAAAACAUUUAUUAAAUGUGUUGUCCUCCAACUCUUUCCAUAAAAAGAAAGAGUUGUGAACCACAACAUACAUUUGAUCAUGGACAAAAG
rnacentral:lncRNA from 1 species